GAUGAACGCUAGCGGGAGGCUUAACACAUGCAAGGUCGAGGGGCAGCAUAGGGUAGCAAUACUCUGAUGGCGACCGGCAAACGGGUGAGUAACGCGUAUGCAACCUACCCUGUACAGGGGGAUAACCCGGAGAAAUUCGGACUAAUAUCCCGUAAUAAUAUCCGGAGGCAUCUUUGGAUAUUUAAAGUUCCGACGGUACGGGAUGGGCAUGCGUAACAUUAACUGGUUGGUAAGGUAACGGCUUACCAAGGCUAUGAUGUUUAGGGGUCCUGAGAGGGUGGUCCCCCACACUGGUACUGAGACACGGACCAGACUCCUACGGGAGGCAGCAGUGAGGAAUAUUGGUCAAUGGGCGCAAGCCUGAACCAGCCAUCCCGCGUGCAGGAAGACGGCCCUAUGGGUUGUAAACUGCUUUUCCAGGGAGAGAAACUUACGCACGUGUUGCGUGACUGACGGUACCCUGGGAAUAAGCAUCGGCUAACUCCGUG
rnacentral:rRNA from 1 species